rnacentral:rRNA from 1 species
GAUGAACGCUGGCGGCGUGCCUAACACAUGCAAGUCGAGCGGAACCGUUAAGAGAUUCAUUAGAUGAUCUUAUCGGUUUAGCGGCGGAUGGGUGAGUAACACGUGGGUAACCUGCCCUUCACUGGGGGAUAACAGUUGGAAACGACUGUUAAUACCGCAUAUGCGCACGGGACCGCAUGGUCCUGGGCGGAAAGAUUUAUCGGUGGAGGAUGGGCCCGCGUCGGAUUAACUAGUUGGUGAGGUAACGGCCCACCAAGGUGAUGAUCCGUAGCCGACCUGAGAGGGUGACCGGCCACAUUGGGACUGAGACACGGCCCAAACUCC